UCUGCCAGGAAGCCGUACAAAACGAUGAGAUCAUCUCAAGCCCCAUCGUUAACCCAGAACGGGUCAGAAAGAAGAGGUGGUUUGAGGAAACGCUAUAAAUGUUGCAGAUUAUCUUAAUUCUAGCAAUCUUGUCAUUUCAAGGUCAUGCUAGACAGAAGAAGUGGAGCAGGAAAUCUCAGCAGACGCUGGGAUGACUCAAGGUGUCCUCCCCGCCUUGACUGUUAGGCUGCCAUCCACUGAAGAUAAAGUUGAAGAUAACUGACCAGAAAUACAGUUGAUCCUCGUGGAUGACACCGAUCACCAGUUAUUUCGCUAAUACGACACAUAGUCUGAAAAACAUGUGUCUCGAAUGCAGAAGAGCAAAUUGAAGGUGUCUUCCUGCAUUGACUGUUAGGCUGCCAUCCAAUGAAGAUAAAGUUGAAGAUAACUGACCAGAAAUACAGUUGAUCCUCGUGGAUGACACCUAUCACCAGCUUUCGACUACAUUGUAUGCAGCCAUUAAUGGCACAGUUAGAAAUGACAACUUGUUUUACAAAAACAAGCCCUCAUACAACUAUGUGAAUGGAAAAAUAAAAAAGUUAUGGCUUUGGGAAGGCUGGGAGUUAAAAACCAAAAUGGAAAGAUGGAAAAUCGCUUGGUUAUUAACAGGUUAAUUACUUCUUUUACAAGCGGAAGCAAACCCAUAAUGAGCAGGGAACAGACUGUUGCCCUGAGAGUCUGUCAACAGAAUAUGUGUUCAUUUAUAAAUUAAUAAUUUUACAAAAUCAAAUUCCAAUGUAUCUCAUUAUUAUUUAACGGAACAAGUACAAUCCUUUGUUUCCAUGUUCUACUUUUUUUUGCUUUCUUGUGUUUCUUACUAAAGCAUAUAAUCACAUAAUGAAUUUUGUUUAUAAAAAAUGGGGGGAAGUGAAGGACGAACAAGGCCCAUGCUAAGGGGAGAGUAUACAGAAUUCAUAUAGUUGUUGCUCUGUAUAAACAUUUUUUUUAUGAGUGCAUGUUACUUAUUUUUGGCUAAAAAUCAUUGCCAUGUUCAGUGUCACCUUUAUAUAGUGCCUUUGCAUCAUCUCACUGCAGGACAGCAGUACACUGCAAAGUGGUUAAACAUCUGUUUUUGUAUGGUACAUGCUUUUCUGUAUAUUUAAGGUGUUACUAGGCCAAAUUCAUAGCCCGCCACUAGAUGGGACUGGUGUCACCCUCUCUAUACAAACGGGAGGAGUGAGAACAUUCUAGUCAGUCUAAUCAGUCUAGUCUGAGCCAGUGAAGAGAACUGAAGCAA